GGAGAAGGCUGUGGCUCAAUGGAAGCCUUUGCUUGGUGUGUAGAAGGUUCCAGGUUCGAUCCCCGGCAUCUCCU
rnacentral:tRNA from 1 species